AUGGAUAGGCUCGUCGCCGCCGGCAUCCUUGGCUUUCUACUGAUUGCGUCGGUAGGAAGCCAGGCAGCUCGUGCUCCGGAGCAAUACUGGAAGUCUGCUCUUCCCAACACCCCUAUGCCAAGUUCCCUCUCUCAACUCCUGAACAGUCAAGCCGGAGGCACCUCGGUGAACGUCGGCUCGGGUGGUGUCCAUGUCGACGCGGGUCAUGGGAUGCCCGGCGGCACGACGGUCGAUGUUGGCAAGGGUGGCGUCGGCGUCAACGUCAAGCCUGGCAGCGCCAAGCCCCGCGGGACUACGGUCGGCGUCGGCAAGGGCGGCGUGGGUGUCAACGUCAAGCCUGGCUACGGCAAGCCCGGGGGCACAACCGUGGGCGUUGGCAAGGGCGGCGUUGACGUCAACGUCAAACCUGGAAGCGGCAAGCCCAGCGGCACGACGGUCGGCGUUGGCAAAGGCGGCGUGGGCGUCAAUGUCAAGCCUGGCUACGGCAAGCCCGGCGGCACCACGGUUGGAGUAGGCAAGGGAGGCGUCGGCGUGAACGUGAAGCCUGGCGGCGGCACCACGGUCGGAGUAGGGAAGGGAGGCGUCGGCGUGAACGUGAAGCCUGGCGACGGCACCACGGUCGGCGUCGGGAAAGGUGGCGUCGGCGUGAACGUGAAGCCUGCAUACGGCAAGCCUGGUGGCACCGGCACCACCGUCGGCGUCGGGAAGGGUGGCGUCGGCGUCAACGUCAAGCCCGGCUACGGUAAGCCAGGCGGCACCACGGUCGGCGUUGGCAAGGGCGGCGUCGGCGUCAACGUCAAGCCUGGCUACGGUAAGCCAGGCGGCAAACCCCGGGGUAAGCCUGUCCACGUCAACGUCUCGCCUUUCCUAUACAACUACGCCGCGACGGAGACGCAGCUGCACGACGACCCCAGCGCCGCGCUCUUCUUCCUGGAGAAGGAUCUGCACGCCGGGAAGAAGAUGAACGUCCAUUUCAUGGCCACCCCGGGCGCCGGCGAGAAGUUCCUGCCGCGGAGCGAGGCCGACGCCAUCCCGUUCUCCUCGGAGAAGGCCCCCGAGAUCCUCAGCCGCUUCUCCGUGGCGCCGGACUCCGCCGAGGCCGCGGAGAUGAAGCAGACGCUGCGCGAGUGCGAGGCGACGGCGGCCAAGGGGGAGAAGAAGUCGUGCGCCACGUCGCUGGAGUCCAUGGUGGACUUCGCCACGUCCAGCCUCGGGACCAGCCACGUGAGGGCCGCCUCCACGGUGGUCGGAAAGGAGGGGUCGCCGGAGCAGGAGUACACCAUGGCCGGCGUGAGGCGCGCGGCGGGGGCCGACCAGCUCGUGGCCUGCCACGCGGAGCCGUACGCGUACGCCGUGUUCGCGUGCCACCUGACGCAGGCGACGAGGGCGUACACGGUGUCCAUGGUCGGCAAGGACGGCACGGCGGUGGAGGCCGUGGCGGUGUGCCACGCCGACACGGCCGGCUGGAACCCGAGGCACGUGGCGUUCCAGGUGCUCAAGGUGAAGCCCGGCGGGGCGCCGGUGUGCCACUUCCUGCCGCAGGACCACGUCGUCUGGACCCGCAGCGGCUGA
rnacentral:rRNA from 1 species